GUAGGUGGCAAGCGUUGUCCGGAAUUAUUGGGCGUAAAGCGCGCGCAGGCUGUUCUUUAAGUCUGAUGUGAAAGCCCACGGCUCAACCGUGGAGGGUCAUUGGAAACUGGAGAACUUGAGUACAGAAGAGGAAAGCGGAAUUCCACGUGUAGCGGUGAAAUGCGUAGAGAUGUGGAGGAACACCAGUGGCGAAGGCGGCUUUCUGGUCUAUAACUGACGCUGAGGCGCGAAAGCGUGGGGGAGCAAACAGGAUUAGAUACCCUGGUAGUCCACGCCGUAAACGAUGAGUGCUAAGUGUUAGGGGGUUUCCGCCCCUUAGUGCUGCAGCUAACGCAUUAAGCACUCCGCCUGGGAGUACGGCCGCAAGGCUG
rnacentral:rRNA from 1 species